rnacentral:lncRNA from 1 species
UGCUGUCGAUUUUAGACCACAGUAUUCAACCCAUCAAUUUUUUCUAGCUUAAGAAUAGUAAGAGAACCUUUUCUAGAGUUAGGAUCCUCCACCAAUUCGUAAAGCCCUAUGAAUUUACAGUCAAGGACAUCUUGCUCCUCACCUUCCCUCAGCUCAAUUGCUGUCCUUCUUCUUCAUUCAUUGUUUCAAUCUUCUCCCAGUAUCACCAAGUGUAGUUUCUUCUCGCUGCAUUAAUGUGAUGUAGGAUACCCCUCACUACACCGGAAACAUGACCUAAUACCCCUCACUACACCGAAAACAUGACCUAAUACCCCUCACUACACCGGAAACAUGACCCACGAGCGCCACAAUCCAUCAGUUCAGAUAAAAGUAGAUGUUUGAGACCUUGAUUGGACUCACUAUUUCCCUUUUGUUUGCCCUUGUCUUUAAGACGUGUCCAUUCGAACAUAACUAUCACGGUUUGGGCUUGGGUCAUAAUUUGACCUGUUACCAGCCUUUUCACUCAACCCUGAACUAGACCGAAUUAACCCAUUCCUUUCCCUAUUUCGAGCUCCUUUUUUCCCACCUC